AGCAGCCGCGGUAAUUCCAGCUCCAAUAGCGUAUAUUAAAGUUGUUGCAGUUAAAAAGCUCGUAGUUGAAUUUCGGGAUCAAUAUUUCGGUCAUGCCGUUGGUAUGCACUGUUAUCAUUGAUUUCUCACCUUCUAAAGAACCGUAAUGCCAUUAAUUUGGUGUUACGGGGAAUUAGGACUGUUACCUUGAAAAAAUUAGAGUGUUUAAAGCAGGCUCACGCUUGAAUACAUUAGCAUGGAAUAAUGAAAUAGGACAUCCGAUUCUAUUUUGUUGGUUUCUAGGAUCGAUGUAAUGAUUAAUAGGGAUAGUUGGGGGCAUUAGUAUUCAAUUGUCAGAGGUGAAAUUCUUGGAUUUAUUGAGGACUAACUACUGCGAAAGCAUUGGCCAAGGAUGUUUUCAUUAAUCAAGAACGAAAGUUAGGGAUCGAAGACGAUCAGAUACCGUCGUAG
rnacentral:rRNA from 1 species